UCUGACUCACGUAAAAGUAGACUCCAAUCCAUCCUUCUCAUCUUUCUCCUUCUUCAUCAGAUAAGCAUCCAAAAAGUCAUCUGGCUCAUCGUGUAACACA
rnacentral:snoRNA from 1 species